GCAACAGAGAUAUACCGCCAAAUUCGUUUGGUAAGGAUGGAAAGGUAGCGUAAGAGACUACCGCAUUCUUGGUAACAAGAAUGGCUAUGUAAACCCCACUCGAAGCAAGACCGAAUGGAGAGCGAUACGGUUGCCCGCCGUGCUUUCGGGUUGGUCGCUUGAUCUUACUGGUAACAGUAAGACUAGAUAGAUAAUCAUCUAAUACAGAACUCGGCUUAUAGUGCUGCUCACAUG
rnacentral:RNase_P_RNA from 1 species